CUGGCCGGGCCAAGGGCUGCAACACAGGACAUGGGUCCUGCUCUCCUCCCCGCUCGUGUCUUGUGUUGCAGCCAGUGGAGCUGC
rnacentral:pre_miRNA from 1 species